rnacentral:rRNA from 1 species
CGGCUAACUCUGUGCCAGCAGCCGCGGUAAUACAGAGGGUGCAAGCGUUAAUCGGAAUUACUGGGCGUAAAGCGAGCGUAGGUGGCUUGAUAAGUCAGAUGUGAAAUCCCCGGGCUUAACCUGGGAACUGCAUCUGAUACUGUUAGGCUAGAAUAGGUGAGAGGAAGGUAGAAUUCCAGGUGUAGCGGUGAAAUGCGUAGAGAUCUGGAGGAAUACCGAUGGCGAAGGCAGCCUUCUGGCAUCAUAUUGACACUGAGGUUCGAAAGCGUGGGUAGCAAACAGGAUUAGAUACCCUGGUAGUCCACGCCGUAAACGAUGUCUACUAGUCGUUGGGUCCCUUGAGGACUUAGUGACGCAGCUAACGCAAUAAGUAGACCGCCUGGGGAGUACGGCCGCAAGGUUAAAACUCAAAUGAAUUGACGGGGGCCCGC